rnacentral:rRNA from 1 species
CCUACGGGAGGCAGCAGUGGGGAAUUUUGGACAAUGGGCGCAAGCCUGAUCCAGCAAUGCCGCGUGAGUGAAGAAGGCCUUCGGGUUGUAAAGCUCUUUUGUCAGGGAAGAGACGGUAGGGGCUAAUAUCCUCUGCUAAUGACGGUACCUGAAGAAUAAGCACCGGCUAACUACGUGCCAGCAGCCGCGGUAAUACGUAGGGUGCAAGCGUUAAUCGGAAUUACUGGGCGUAAAGCGUGCGCAGGCGGUUUUGUAAGUCUGUCGUGAAAGCCCCGGGCUCAACCUGGGAAUUGCGAUGGAGACUGCAAGGCUUGAAUCUGGCAGAGGGGGGUAGAAUUCCACGUGUAGCAGUGAAAUGCGUAGAGAUGUGGAGGAACACCGAUGGCGAAGGCAGCCCCCUGGGUCAAGAUUGACGCUCAUGCACGAAAGCGUGGGGAGCAAACAGGAUUAGAUACCCUGGUAGUCCACGCCCUAAACGAUGUCUACUAGUUGUCGGGUUUUAAUUAACUUGGUAGCGCAGCUAACGCGUGAAGUAGACCGCCUGGGGAGUACGGUCGCAAGAUUAAAACUCAAAGGAAUUGACGG